UAACUGAAGAGUUUGAUCAUGGCUCAGAUUGAACGCUGGCGGCAGGCUUAACACAUGCAAGUCGAGCGGGGGAAGGUAGCUUGCUACUGGACCUAGCGGCGGACGGGUGAGUAAUGCUUAGGAAUCUGC
rnacentral:rRNA from 1 species